GACGAACGCUGGCGGCGUGCCUAAUACAUGCAAGUCGAGCGGACUUUCAAGAAGCUUGCUUUUUGAAAGUUAGCGGCGGACGGGUGAGUAACACGUGGGCAACCUGCCUGCAAGACGGGGAUAACUCCGGGAAACCGGGGCUAAUACCGGAUAAUAUCUUCCUUCGCAUGAAGGAAGGUUGAAAGGCGGCGCAAGCUGCCGCUUGCAGAUGGGCCCGCGGCGCAUUAGCUAGUUGGUGAGGUAACGGCUCACCAAGGCGACGAUGCGUAGCCGACCUGAGAGGGUGAUCGGCCACACUGGGACUGAGACACGGCCCAGACUCCUACGGGAGGCGGCAGUAGGGAAUCUUCCGCAAUGGACGAAAGUCUGACGGAGCAACGCCGCGUGAGCGAAGAAGGUCUUCGGAUCGUAAAGCUCUGUUGUCAGGGAAGAACAAGUACCGUUCGAACAGGGCGGUACCUUGACGGUACCUGACCAGAAAGCCACGGCUAACUACGUG
rnacentral:rRNA from 1 species